rnacentral:misc_RNA from 1 species
GGAUGAAGAACGUAGCGAAAUGCGAUAAGUAGUGUGAAUUGCAGAAUUCAGUGAAUCAUCGAAUCUUUGAACGCACAUUGCGCCCUUUGGUAUUCCUUAGGGCAUGCCUGUUCGAGCGUCAUUUAAACCUUCAAGCUAAGCUUGAUGUUGGGUGACUGUCCGCUUCACUGCGGACUCGCCUCAAAAUUAUUGGCGGCCGGUACAUUGGCUUCGAGCGCAGCAGAAACGCGAACUCGGGCCCGUCGUAUUGGCUCCCAGAAGCUAUCUUCACAAUUUUGACCUCGGAUCAGGUAGGGAUACCCGCUGAACUUAAGCAUAUCAAUAAGCGGAGGA